AGCGAACGCUGGCGGCAGGCUUAACACAUGCAAGUCGAGCGGACCUUUCGGGGUCAGCGGCGGACGGGUGGGUAACGCGUGGGAACGUGCCUUCCGGUUCGGAAUAACCCUGGGAAACUAGGGCUAAUACCGGAUACGCCCUUAUGGGGAAAGGUUUACUGCCGGAAGAUCGGCCCGCGUCUGAUUAGCUAGUUGGUGGGGUAACGGCCUACCAAGGCGACGAUCAGUAGCUGGUCUGAGAGGAUGAUCAGCCACACUGGGACUGAGACACGGCCCAGACUCCUACGGGAGGCAGCAGUGGGGAAUAUUGGACAAUGGGCGCAAGCCUGAUCCAGCCAUGCCGCGUGAGUGAUGAAGGCCUUAGGGUUGUAAAGCUCUUUUAUCCGGGACGAUAAUGACGGUACCGGAGGAAUAAGCCCCGGCUAACUUCGUG
rnacentral:rRNA from 1 species